rnacentral:rRNA from 1 species
GAUGAACGCUAGCGGCAGGCCUAACACAUGCAAGUCGAGGGGCAUCAUGGCGUAGCAAUACGCUGAUGGCGACCGGCGCACGGGUGCGUAACGCGUAUGGAACCUACCCACCGCAGGGGGAUAACCCGCCGAAAGGCGGACUAAUACCCCAUGGUUCCCCGACCCUGCCUGGGGUUGGGGGUAAAGCCUACGGGCGGCGGUGGAUGGCCCUGCGUGCCAUUAGCUGGCUGGUGGGGUAACGGCCCACCAGGGCGACGAUGGCUAGGGGGUCUGAGAGGACGAUCCCCCACACUGGUACUGAGACACGGACCAGACUCCUACGGGAGGCAGCAGUCGAGAAUAGUCUACAAUGGUCGGAAGACUGAUAGUGCGACGCCGCGUGAACGAUGAAUCCCUUCGGGGUGUAAAGUUCUUUUAUAUGUGAGCAGUGCUUCUUAUAUUAACAGUAUGGGGAGAGAGAUAUUAGCAUAUGAAUAAGCAACGGCUAACUCCGUG